rnacentral:rRNA from 1 species
AUGGAAGGGCGCAGCCUGGAUCCAGCCAUGCCGCGUGCAGGGAUGAAGGCCUUCGGGUUGUAAACUGCUUUUGUACGGAACGAAACGGCCUUUUCUAAUAAAGAGGGCUNAUGACGGUAC